AACGAACGCUGGCGGCAUGCCUAACACAUGCAAGUCGAACGAGACCUUCGGGUCUAGUGGCGCACGGGUGCGUAACGCGUGGGAACCUGCCCUUAGGUUCGGAAUAACUCCCCGAAAGGGGUGCUAAUACCGGAUAAUGUCUUCGGACCAAAGAUUUAUCGCCUUUGGAUGGGCCCGCGUUGGAUUAGCUGGUUGGUAGGGUAAAAGCCUACCAAGGCAACGAUCCAUAGCUGGUCUGAGAGGAUGAUCAGCCACACUGGGACUGAGACACGGCCCAGACUCCUACGGGAGGCAGCAGUGGGGAAUAUUGGACAAUGGGCGAAAGCCUGAUCCAGCAAUGCCGCGUGAGUGAUGAAGGCCUUAGGGUUGUAAAGCUCUUUUACCCGGGAUGAUAAUGACAGUACCGGGAGAAUAAGCGCCGGCUAACUCCGUG
rnacentral:rRNA from 1 species